AUUGAACGCUGGCGGCAGGCCUAACACAUGCAAGGCGGGCGAGCGGCGGACGGGUGAGGAAUGUAUGGGGAUUUGCCUGAUGGAGGGGGAUAACUACUGGGAACGGUAGCUAAUACCGCAUACACUCAGAUGAACCCAUAUGGGAUUAGCUAGUCGGUGAGGUAACGGAGCACCUAGGCGACGAUCCCUAGCUGGGCUGAGAGGAUGAUCAGCCACACUGGGACUGAGACACGGCCCAGACUCCUACGGGAGGCAGCAGUGGGGAAUAUUGCACAAUGGGCGCAAGCCUGAUGCAGCCAUGCCGCGUGUAUGAAGAAGGCCUUCGGGUUGUAAAGUACUUUCAGUCGGGAGGCGUUACCGACAGAAGAAGCACCGGCUAACUCCGUGCCAGCAGCCGCGGUAAUUC
rnacentral:rRNA from 1 species